CUUGGUGGCCUUAGCGGAGGGCCCAGCACCCGAUCCCAUCCCGAACUCGGCCGUGAAACCCUCCUGCGCCAAUGGUACUUCGGCUUAAGCCGCGGGAGAGUAGGGCGCCGCCAAGU
rnacentral:rRNA from 1 species